rnacentral:rRNA from 1 species
GACGGAGGGGGCUAGCGUUGUUCGGAAUUACUGGGCGUAAAGGGCGCGUAGGCGGCCGAUCAAGUUAGGCGUGAAAUCCCUGGGCUUAACCCAGGAACUGCGUUUAAUACUGAUUGGCUAGAGAUUGGUAGAGGAAAGUGGAAUUCCUAGUGUAGAGGUGAAAUGCGCAGAUAUCAGGAGGAACACCGGUGGCGAAGGCGGGUCUCUGGGCCGAUAUUGACGCUGAGGAGCGAAAGCAUGGGGAGCGAACAGG